GAUGAACGCUAGCGGCAGGCUUAAUACAUGCAAGUCGAGGGGCAGCAUGAAUGUAGCAAUACAUUUGAUGGCGACCGGCAAACGGGUGCGGAACACGUACACAACCUUCCUAUAAGUGGGGAAUAGCCCAGAGAAAUUUGGAUUAAUACCCCGUAACAUAAUGAUGUGGCAUCGCAUUAUUAUUAUAGCUACGGCGCUUAUUGAUGGGUGUGCGGCUGAUUAGAUAGUUGGCGGGGUAACGGCCCACCAAGUCUACGAUCAGUAGCUGAUGUGAGAGCAUGAUCAGCCACACGGGCACUGAGACACGGGCCCGACUCCUACGGGAGGCAGCAGUAAGGAAUAUUGGUCAAUGGACGCAAGUCUGAACCAGCCAUGCCGCGUGAAGGAUUAAGGUCCUCUGGAUUGUAAACUUCUUUUAUCUGGGACGAAAAAAGGCUAUUCUUAGUCACUUGACGGUACCAGAUGAAUAAGCACCGGCUAACUCCGUGCCAGCCGCCGCAGUAACAC
rnacentral:rRNA from 1 species